rnacentral:rRNA from 1 species
CAGCAGCCGCGGUAACACCAGCAGCCCAAGUGGUGGUCGCGAUUAUUGGGCCUAAAGCGCUCGUAGCCGGGCCGGUAAGUCCCUUGUGAAAUCGGACGGCCUAACCGUUCGGCGUGCAAGGGAUACUGUCGGUCUUGAGGCCGGGAGACGUCCGAGGUACUCCGGGGGUAGCGGUGAAAUGUUCUGAUCCUCGGGGGACCACCGGUGGCGAAGGCGUUCGACGAGAACGGGCCUGACGGUGAGGGGCGAAGGCUAGGGGAGCAAACGGGAUUAGAGACCCGAGUAGUCCCUGUCUCUUAUU